UUUUUUUUUUGUUACUUUUUUGUUGUCUUUUUAGGUUCCCUUCCUUUUUUGUUUUUGGGUUAUAGUGAAUUUUUGGGCUUUAGUGUUUUUUGGGCUUUUAGUGUUUUUUUACUAAAACAGUUUGUUUUUCUAAAUAACAGGCCUAGGCCCAAUUAGUAACAGAUACAGUGUUUAACAUUACUGUA
rnacentral:sRNA from 1 species